GCACUGCGCAUGCUCCAGCUCACAGUGAAGUCCGGCUGAUUGAUGUCAGUGCGCGACCAAUAGGAGCACAGGUGUGCCGUGCAUGACCGGACGGAUGUCGCCCAAUCGGAAUGAAGGGAGGGCGGGAUCAGUGAAAACCACGUGAUCAUCCACGAGUGCGGUGCAGAGUCGCUGAGAUAACCGGAACUGCAGAUGCUGGAGAAUCCGAGAUAACACGGUGUGCAGCUGGAUGUACACAGCAGGAAAGCUGACGUUUCGGGCCUAGAUCCUUCGCUGAGACCAAGAUUUGUGCAAUUGAGAUACCAGCGAUCGUUGCCAAAGCCCUGUUACCUGUGGAGAAGGUGAUGUUUAACUUUCGUGUGCUACUGCAGUUUGUAUGAUAAAGGUGCUCUCACAAUGCUCCAUUUGAGAAGUUACAGAUCAUUCAUCUAGCGAUACUGAAGAGCUACUGAAGAGCUAAUGGUGAUAUUACAAGUGGACUUUCAGGUAGGAAGCUCAAUAAUUGUAACACCAAACUCUGACAGAAUUACUCAAUUCAUCAGGACCUGGAUAUUCGCAUUGUGUAUUCCCACAAUUUUACUUCUGCACUAUUCUUAACCUUUCGAUCCCUCUGAAAGACUGAGUUACAGAUCUAUACAAUGACUGUCCUUCCUCGCUGGCUUCCCCCACCUCUCUUUUGGUAGUUUUAUGCAAACACUGACUGGAUCCCUUACCUGGAGGAUAUUUAUGAAUGAAUUUGUUCUAAUGGUGAUCCAGCAUUUUCCCCAAGUAUCGCUCCACACAUGCCCAGAGAAUUUCUCAGUUUCACAAUCUGUGUCCUUCUGGUUUCUUACUCGCUACACUUAACUUUCUGUUUGAAAGUAUAGUCUGCAGUUGGAGAAUUUUAACAGGUCCACAUCCAGGUCUGACGGUCACUUUGUUUAUCACAACCCAAUUAUCUCAGGGUUUUGAACAUUGAAGGAAAACGCAGCACUCACAUUGGGGAGAAAUGCACAAGGUGUGUGUGUUGAAGAGUCUGUGAAGAUUCAUCUGAAAUGUCCGAACACCAGUGCAGUGACACUGGGAGACAGUGUGGAAAUGUGCAGAUUGCAGGAAGGAAUUUCUUCAUCCAUCCCAGCUAGAAACUGACCACCAGAGUCACACUGGAGAGAGACCAUUGGCCUGUUCUGCAUGAGGGAAAGGCUUUGCUGAUUCGAAUUCCCCGCUGAUACACCAGCGAGUUCACUCUGGGGAGAGACCUUUCAUGAGCUCUGAGUGUGGGAAGGGAUUCAUUGUCAUCCAAACUGUUAACACACCAGCGAGUUCACAGACAACCACAGUUGAAGAACUUUGCUGUCACUCUCACUAUCAAAUGAACCAUGGUUUUGGGCUGUUUGUACAGAUGUUACCGACCCCUGCUCAAUUAAAGGUGCUGGUAUUGUGAAUAAAAUGUCACACUAACAGUUGUGUAAGGUAGAGCUUGGAAAUAGUCACGUUGUCACAACACGUCGACACAUUCGCACUGACUAAAGACUAUCCACCUGCACGAUAUGUGAAAAGGGACUUGCUGGUUCAUCAGGACUGGUUAACUGCCAGCAAAUUUCUGAAUAAGUUGAUUGGUUUGAAUAUAGCUAACAGUAGAAUCAAAAAUAGUAUCAGUGAUAAUGGGAACUGCAGAUGCUGGAGAAUCCAAGACAACGAAGUGUGGAGCUGGAUGAACACAGCAGGCCAAGCAGCAUCUCAGGAGCACAAAAGCUGACUUUUCGGGCCUAGAGAAGGGUCAAGGCCUGAAACGUCAGCUUUUGUGCUCCUGAGAUGCUGCUUGACCUGUUGUGUUCAUCCAGCUCCACACAUUGUUAUAGUAGAUUCAAAAACCAUGUGUUUUGGGCUUGUUGCUGGAGAUCAUAGAAUCCCUCCAGUGUGGGAGCAGACCAUUUAGCCCAUCAUGUCCGCACUGACCUGACAAACAGUGUCUUACCCAGACACUGUCUGCGUGAGUUUCCUCCAGAUGCUCUGGUUUCCUCCCACAGUCCAAAACUGUGCAAAUUAUGUAGAUUGACUAUGCUAAAUUGCCCAUAGUAUCUUGUGUGCAAAAUGCAGGCAUAGGGUGGGUAGGGUGUGAGACUGGGUGGGAUGCUCUUUGCAGGGUUGAUAUUGACUGAAUGGCCAUCUUCCACACUGUAGGAAUUCUGUGAUGAUCUCGAUGGCCCUUUAUUUGUUAGACAGGUCUGCACACCUUUACAAUGACGGAUUCUGUUGCUCUCCACAGACAUUUGUUUAUUGGAAACAAUGUAAUCUUUCAUUUUGUGGAUAAAAAUCAAAGGAAAGUUUUAAAUCCAAA